rnacentral:rRNA from 1 species
UACGAAGGGGGCUAGCGUUGUUCGGAUUUACUGGGCGUAAAGCGCACGUAGGCGGAUCUUUAAGUCAGAGGUGAAAUCCCAAGGCUCAACCUUGGAACUGCCUUUGAUACUGGGGAUCUUGAGUCCGGGAGAGGUGAGUGGAACUGCGAGUGUAGAGGUGAAAUUCGUAGAUAUUCGCAAGAACACCAGUGGCGAAGGCGGCUCACUGGCCCGGUGCUGACGCUGAGGUGCGAAAGCGUGGGGAGCAAACAGG